UACGGAGGAUCCGAGCGUUAUCCGGAUUUAUUGGGUUUAAAGGGUGCGCAGGCGGGAUAUUAAGUCGGCGGUGAAAUUUUGCAGCUCAACUGUAAAAGUGCCUUCGAUACUGGCUUUCCUUGAGUGUGGAUGAAGUAGGCGGAAUUUGUGGUGUAGCGGUGAAAUGCUUAGAUAUCACGAGGAACUCCGAUUGCGCAGGCAGCUUACUAAACCACUACUGACGCUCAUGCACGAAGGCGUGGGGAUCAAACAGGAUUAGAUA
rnacentral:rRNA from 1 species